CCAAUAGCGUAUAUUUAAGUUGUUGCAGUUAAAAAGCUCGUAGUUGAAUUUCGGGAUUGACACAUCGGUCGUGCCUUAAGGGGUAUGAACUGGUGUAGUCAAUUUCUCACCUUCUGGAGAACCGCGAUGCCCUUAAUUGGGUGCCACGGGGAACCAGGACCUUUACUUUGAAACAAUUAGAGUGUUUAAAGCAGGCAUUUUGCUUGAAUACAUUAGCAUGGAAUAAUAAAAUAGGACGGCAUGAUUCUAUUUUGUUGGUUUCUAGGAUCACCGUAAUGAUUAAUAGGGAUAGUUGGGGGCAUUAGUAUUCAAUUGUCAGAGGUGAAAUUCUUGGAUUUAUUGAAGACUAACUACUGCGAAAGCAUUUGCCAAGGAUGUUUUCAUUAAUCAAGAACGAAAGUUAGGGGAUCGAAGACGAUCAGAUACCGUCGUAGUCUUAACCAUAAACUAUGCCGACUAGGAAUCAGACGAUGUUAAUUUUUUAAUGACUCGUUUGGCACCUUACG
rnacentral:misc_RNA from 1 species